rnacentral:lncRNA from 1 species
CUGGCUCACUCCUGGGAAGCUGGAGGACUUUCCAGAGGAAGUUCCAGUAAACCUGAGACCUGAGGGAGGAGGACAGGUAGCUUCAGGAGAGUUUGGGAACUGGGGAGGGCAGGAAUGACCAUCAAGUUGCAGUCCUGGCAGGCGGCUGGGCACCCAGCGAUCUGGGGCUAGACCCACACAGCAAUGAGAAGGGUGGCGGCGCAGCAGGAAGGCCCUUGCAAGAACAGGUGCAUCUGCGGGGCAUUAAGCCCUGAAGAAGUUUUGGGCACACAUGUUCGCUAAUGAGAACAUGUGGAAAACACAAACCAGCGGAGGAGAGCUCCUCGCAGGCCCAUCAUGAACACAACACUGCUGUUAACAGUUUUGCUGGAACAAGGCUGGGAGCACGAGGCGUCCGCAGCACGUGGCUGAUUCCCAGCGUUUGCUCACCUGUGUGUAGGUUUCCUUAUAUGGUUGUGAUCAUACUGUUUGCGCAUUUUUAUGCUUCUUUUUCC